rnacentral:rRNA from 1 species
AGAGUUUGAUCCUGGCUCAGGACGAACGCUGGCGGCGUGCUUAACACAUGCAAGUCGAACGGAAAGGCCCCUUCGGAGGUACUCGAGUGGCGAACGGGUGAGUAACACGUGGGCAAUCUGCCCUGCACUUCGGGAUAAGCCUGGGAAACUGGGUCUAAUACCGGAUAGGACCUCAAGACGCAUGUCUUCUGGUGGAAAGCUUUUGCGGUGUGGGAUGGGCCCGCGGCCUAUCAGCUUGUUGGUGGGGUGACGGCCUACCAAGGCGACGACGGGUAGCCGGCCUGAGAGGGUGUCCGGCCACACUGGGACUGAGAUACGGCCCAGACUCCUACGGGAGGCAGCAGAAGGG